GAUGAACGCUGGCGGCGUGCUUAACACAUGCAAGUCGAACGGAAAGGCUCCUGCUUGCAGGGGUACUCGAGUGGCGAACGGGUGAGUAACACGUGGGUGAUCUGCCCUGCACUUCGGGAUAAGCCUGGGAAACUGGGUCUAAUACCGGAUAGGACGAUGGUUUGGAUGCCAUUGUGGAAAGUUUUUCGGUGUGGGAUGAGCUCGCGGCCUAUCAGCUUGUUGGUGGGGUAAUGGCCUACCAAGGCGUCGACGGGUAGCCGGCCUGAGAGGGUGUACGGCCACAUUGGGACUGAGAUACGGCCCAGACUCCUACGGGAGGCAGCAGUGGGGAAUAUUGCACAAUGGGCGCAAGCCUGAUGCAGCGACGCCGCGUGGGGGAGGACGGCCUUCGGGUUGUAAACUCCUUUCGCUAGGGACGAAGCGUUUUGUGACGGUACCUGGAGAAGAAGCACCGGCUAACUACGUG
rnacentral:rRNA from 1 species